rnacentral:rRNA from 1 species
GAUGAACGCUGGCGGCGUGCCUAAUACAUGCAAGUCGAGCGAACAGAUGAGGAGCUUGCUCCUCUGACGUUAGCGGCGGACGGGUGAGUAACACGUGGAUAACCUACCUAUAAGACUGGGAUAACUUCGGGACACCGGAGCUAAUACCGGAUAAUAUAUUGCACCGCAUGGUUCAAUAGUGAAAGACGGUUUUGCUGUCACUUAUAGAUGGAUCCGCGCCGCAUUAGCUAGUUGGUAAGGUAACGGCUUACCAAGGCAACGAUGCGUAGACGACCUGAGAGGGUGAUCGGCCACACUGGAACUGAGACACGGUCCAGACUCCUACGGGAGGCAGCAGUAGGGAAUCUUCCGCAAUGGGCGAAAGCCUGACGGAGCAACGCCGCGUGAGUGAUGAAGGUCUUCGGAUCGUAAAACUCUGUUAUUAGGGAAGAACAAAUGUGUAAGUAACUAUGCACGUCUUGACGGUACCUAAUCAGAAAGCCACGGCUAACUACGUG